ACUCUGUCUCAAACAAACAAACAAACAAAAAAAUUCACUUCUUUUAUUGCUCAGUAGUAUAAUUUUUUAGAAGAUUAAAAGUGACACAAGCUUACUGUCAAAAACUUUGAUAGUACAGAAAAAAAUUAAAAAAAAAACGAUCAACCACCCGUUAUCAAAGAAAUGUAUGUUAAAACAGGAAGAUACCAAUUUUCGCCUAACAGACUGUACAAAUGGGAAGGGACAGUGUGUAGCCGGCCUCCACAAUGGCCCCCCAGUGACUCCUGCCCGCUGGUAUUCACACCUGACCUGGGGAAUCGAUGGGUUACUGUGGAAAUGACAAUGACUUCUGAGCUGUGGUCAUAAGAGUCACUGCAGUUCCCAUCUGGCUCACUCUAGGGGAUGCCAGUGGCCAUGCUGUGAGGUCACUGAGGAAGCCUCUGGAGGAGGCAGCCCACACGAGGAGGAACGAGGCCUCCCACCAACAGCCACGUGGGCACACCAUCUUGGAUGUGGUUCCUCUAGCCUCAGUCAAGCCUUCAGAUGCCUGCAACCCCUGCCAGCAUCCUCACUGCAACUUGAUGAGUGAUCACCCAGCUAAGCCACUGCUGGAUUUGUAACCCACAGAAACUGGGAGGGCAUCGCAUGGCCUCGACGGGGAUUACCCAUAGGAGAGAUGAGUUUUGCUGAGAACGCCUGAGUGAGCAUGGAGCAGAGCUCCGUGAGCACCUGCACCCAGCUGGGUCUUUACUGAGAGCCUGCGGCAUUCGGAGGACUUUGGGAGCUUUGCGGAUACAGCAGCGAACAAAACAAAAUUCUUGUUCUCUGUCAACAGGAGAGGAGGGGUACAGGACACAGUUGGAGAAACAAGGCUUUGACUGGAAUG
rnacentral:lncRNA from 1 species